rnacentral:rRNA from 1 species
CUGAACCAGCCAAGUAGCGUGAAGGAUGACUGCCCUAUGGGUUGUAAACUUCUUUUAUAUGGGAAUAAAGUUGUCCACGUGUGGAUUUUUGUAUGUACCAUAUGAAUAAGGAUCGGCUAACUCCGUGCCAGCAGCCGCGGUAAUACGGAGGAUCCGAGCGUUAUCCGGAUUUAUUGGGUUUAAAGGGAGCGUAGGCGGAUUGUUAAGUCAGUUGUGAAAGUUUGCGG